GAAAUGCGAUAAGUAGUGUGAAUUGCAGAAUUCAGUGAAUCAUCGAAUCUUUGAACGCACAUUGCGCCCUUUGGUAUUCCAAAGGGCAUGCCUGUUCGAGCGUCACUUGUACCCUCAAGCUUUGCUUGGUGUUGGGCGUCUUGUCUCUAGCUUUGCUGGAGACUCGCCUUAAAGUAAUUGGCAGCCGGCCUACUGGUUUCGGAGCGCAGCACAAGUCGCACUCUCUAUCAGCAAAGGUCUAGCAUCCAUUAAGCCUUUUUUCAACUUUUGACCUCGGAUCAGGUAGGGAUACCCGCUGAACUUAAGC
rnacentral:misc_RNA from 1 species